rnacentral:lncRNA from 1 species
UCGAUUUUAGGACUAUUAUUUAAGCAAUCAAAUUCCAAACCCAAACUGAUUCCUGUUGACUACAUUUUGAGAAAAAUACACAACACUGCACAUUAACAUGAAAGCAUUAAGCUACUCUACAAGUAGCGAAAGAAACAAAAUACUAGUCAAGAUGCCAAGAAAACUUGCCUCCGUAUCAUCUUCCAACUCAGUAGCUAUGUUAGCACAACCUAUAAUUAACAUACACCCAUACUCAUGUUACAUGUGUUUAUAAAUCAUCUUUCUGAACUAAUUCGAGUACUAAUGUAUGGAUCAUUGUUUGAUGUGGAAGUACAAGAACUACGUAAUUCAUGUGUUUGGUAAGGUAUAUAUAAAAAUAUUAAUUAAAGCUUGUGAACCUUCAAAAAUGUGAACCUGGGAACAUGGAACGUCUUAAAAUUUUUAAAAAUGAAAUAUAUUACAAGGAUAGAACUCAAAAUCAAAUAAUUAAUAGCUCUUCAUGCUUAUGAUUCUUGUAACUCAUAAAUUAGACAAUCUACUGCUAAUCUCAAAAACAAAAGGCAGAAGAUGAAAUCUCUGGAAAAGAAGCUCCAAACUUCUCGCAAAAUUCCAAACUAUAACUGUUGGAAAACAUCUCGUCAUACCAUGCGCCAAACUUUGAUGCUAGGAUAUACGGAUUGAAUGCUAAUUAAACACAUGAGAUCAAUUAUAACACUAGCCCUAGGAUCGAUUUUUUGAAACUGCCGAAGGCUCAAGUAACUAAUAGAUCCAUAUGACAAUAGUAGAUAAGCCAACCAUCAAUUGUAAUAACAAAGCAGACGAAUUAAACACCCCCUCAAUCUUUAUAAUAAAAGGCGAUUAAACAUCAACUACAACUCCAUAACAAAAACAAAUAUAAGAUAGUUCAUAGAAGACAUACUUAAUGGUACAAAGAUUAAAUCUGGAAAGCAAAGGGAAGCCAAAUAAAGGCAACGACACCAGUGGGUAGGAGCUCAGCAAAUUCCAGCAGAAGCAGCCAAUUUUGAACUCAGUUUUCAACUUAAAUGAAAUCGCACAGAAAAUUCCUUGAACCUAACACAGUAGCCUUGAUAGCCCAAUAACUUGAGAAACCAUAUAACUAUCUCAUUCAAACUCUAUUGCUCCUUUCUUUUAGAAUGGGGCUGCUCGAUUUUGGUUGUAGAAGGGAAAUGGUCUCACUUAUAUGGGAAAUUGGGGAUGGAAGGUAACAACUCGGUUCGUCUGUUGCUGAAGAAGAGAGGAGUCAGAGGUUCUGCUCGGCCUCCUUCAAGAUGAGAGAGCCGUUGUUUUUCAUUUUUCUAAAGAGGGAAAAUUCUCCUUCUCUUGUGCAUGGGAUCUGAUUCUUUGUAGUGAAGAAAAAAGGGAAAGCUGCGCUAGGUCUCCAAAAAUGGGGAAAGUCUUUAGGGUUGGGAUUUAAUGAGAUGGGAAUGGGU